UACGGAGGGUGCAAGCGUUGUUCGGAUUCACUGGGCGUAAAGGGUGCGUAGGUGGCCAGGUAAGUUUGAUGUGAAAGCUCGGAGCUUAACUCCGAAAUGGCAUUGAAUACUAUCUGGCUUGAGGGUCGGAGGGGAGACUGGAAUUCUCGGUGUAGCAGUGAAAUGCGUAGAUAUCGAGAGGAACACCAGUGGCGAAGGCGAGUCUCUGGACGACACCUGACACUGAGGCACGAAAGCUAGGGGAGCAAACAGG
rnacentral:rRNA from 1 species